rnacentral:rRNA from 1 species
UACGUAGGGUGCGAGCGUUGUCCGGAAUUAUUGGGCGUAAAGAGCUCGUAGGCGGCUUGUCGCGUCGGAUGUGAAAGCCCGGGGCUUAACUCCGGGUCUGCAUUCGAUACGGGCAGGCUAGAGUUCGGUAGGGGAGAUCGGAAUUCCUGGUGUAGCGGUGAAAUGCGCAGAUAUCAGGAGGAACGCCGGUGGCGAAGGCGGAUCUCUGGGCCGAUACUGACGCUGAGGAGCGAAAGCGUGGGGAGCGAACAGG